rnacentral:lncRNA from 1 species
ACCACAAUUCAAGAUGCUAUAACUGAUACAAUGCAAUAGGAUCAUAGAGCCCGUUGACCACGUAGAGAGCUUUAAAGCUCUAAUACUCCUCCAUAGAGCAACCAAUGCGAUUAUUUGUCAGACAUUCCUGUCUACUUUGCUAAAAAAUAGUGGAAUUGAUAUUCGAGCCUUUAGCCUAGCUCAAUUAACUUCUUUGAAAAGCUUAAUCAACUAUUUAUGACUCACUUCAUCAGAAGUCACCAAUAGUAUUAUGGCUCCAACUCGCUUAUUAGCAUCAAACAACAAGAGAACGAGUCUCUCUAGAAGUAUAUUAGUUGUUUCAAUAUCGCCACCCUCAAAUUAAGUGACUUCGAUCAAUCAGUAGCCAUAAUUGCUCUCAAAGGUGGGCUACUUAAGAAUGCUUUCCUCGUUUCACCCAAGAAGUACUCCAAGAACUUCGCCAAAAUAUUGGCAUGAGUGAAGAAGUACAUGAAUGUGGAGGAGGCAUAAGCUCGAUAUAGAGAACACCCGAACAAUGAGCCCUAAGGAAAGAAAGAAGAUGGUGAGCUUAGGAGUGGGAGACAUAAGCGUGAAAAGGCAGC